CACCUGGUGUCCCAGGUCUAAAUCAGUCCCUGAUUAGAGAGGAAUCACCCACCUGGUGUCCCAGGUCUAAAUCAGUCCCUGAUUAGAGAGGAAUCACCCACCUGGUGUCCCAGGUCUAAAUCAGUCCCUGAUUCGAGGGGAAUCACCCACCUGGUGUCCCAGGUCUAAAUCAGUCCCUGAUUAGAGAGGAAUCACCCACCUGGUGUCCCAGGUCUAAAUCAGUCCCUGAUUAGAGAGGAAUCACCCACCUGGUGUCCCAGGUCUAAAUCAGUCCCUGAUUAGAGAGGAAUCACCCACCUGGUGUCCCAGGUCUAAAUCAGUCCCUGAUUAGAGAGGAAUCACCCACCUGGUGUCCCAGGUCUAAAUCAGUCCCUGAUUAGAGGGGAAUCACCCACCUGGUGUCCCAGGUCUAAAUCAGUCCCUAAUUAGAGGGGAAUCACCCACCUGGUGUCCCAGG